GACGUAGGGGGCCAGCGUUGCUCGGAAUUACUGGGCGUAAAGGGUCCGUAGGCGGGUCUUUAAGUCAGGGGUGAAAUCCUGGAGCUCAACUCCAGAACUGCCUUUGAUACUGAAGAUCUUGAGUUCGGGAGAGGUGAGUGGAACUGCGAGUGUAGAGGUGAAAUUCGUAGAUAUUCGCAAGAACACCAGUGGCGAAGGCGGCUCACUGGCCCGAUACUGACGCUGAGGCACGAAAGCGUGGGGAGCAAACAGG
rnacentral:rRNA from 1 species